AUGCUUACCUGGCAGGUGUGAUUCCAUGAUCACGAAGAUGGAUUCCCCAGGUUGAGGCUAGCCCAUUGCACUCCAGACAUGUUGACCCUUGUGAUUUCCCCACACGUGGGAAACUAGGCUGCACAAUUUGUUAUAGUUGGGGACUAUGUGCGUGCUUUCCCCUG